rnacentral:rRNA from 1 species
AGUGAACGCUGGCGGUAGGCCUAACACAUGCAAGUCGAACGGCAGCACAGGAGAGCUUGCUCUCUGGGUGGCGAGUGGCGGACGGGUGAGGAAUACAUCGGAAUCUACUCUGUCGUGGGGGAUAACGUAGGGAAACUUACGCUAAUACCGCAUACGACCUACGGGUGAAAGCAGGGGACCUUCGGGCCUUGCGCGAUUGAAUGAGCCGAUGUCGGAUUAGCUAGUUGGCGGGGUAAAGGCCCACCAAGGCGACGAUCCGCAGCUGGUCUGAGAGGACGAUCAGCCACACUGGAACUGAGACACGGUCCAGACUCCUACGGGAGGCAGCAGUGGGGAAUAUUGGACAAUGGGCGCAAGCCUGAUCCAGCCAUACCGCGUGGGUGAAGAAGGCCUUCGGGUUGUAAAGCCCUUUUGUUGGGAAAGAAAUCCAGCUGGCUAAUACCCGGUUGGGAUGACGGUACCCAAAGAAUAAGCACCGGCUAACUUCGUGCCAGCAGCCGCAGUAA